rnacentral:rRNA from 1 species
GACGAACGCUGGCGGCGUGCUUAACACAUGCAAGUCGAACGAAGAGCGAUGGAAGCUUGCUUCUAUCAAUCUUAGUGGCGAACGGGUGAGUAACGCGUAAUCAACCUGCCCUUCAGAGGGGGACAACAGUUGGAAACGACUGCUAAUACCGCAUACGAUCCAAUCUCGGCAUCGGGACUGGAUGAAAGGUGGCCUCUAUUUAUAAGCUAUCACUGAAGGAGGGGAUUGCGGCUGAUUAGCUAGUUGGAGGGGGAACGGCCCACCAAGGCGAUGAUCAGUAGCCGGUCUGAGAGGAUGAACGGCCACAUUGGGACUGAGACACGGCCCAGACUCCUACGGGAGGCAGCAGUGGGGAAUCUUCCGCAAUGGACGAAAGUCUGACGGAGCAACGCCGCGUGAGUGAUGACGGCCUUCGGGUUGUAAAGCUCUGUUAAUCGGGACGAAUGGUUCUUGUGCGAAUAGGGCGAGGAUUUGACGGUACCGGAAGAGAAAGCCACGGCUAACUACGUG